rnacentral:rRNA from 1 species
GCAGCCGCCGCGGGAAUACAGAGGGUGCGAGCGUUAAUCGGAUUUACUGGGCGUAAAGCGUGCGUAGGCGGCUAAUUGAGUCGGAUGUGAAAUCCCCGAGCUUAACUUGGGAAUUGCAUUCGAUACUGGUUAGCUAGAGUGUGGGAGAGGAUGGUAGAAUUCCAGGUGUAGCGGUGAAAUGCGUAGAGAUCUGGAGGAAUACCGAUGGCGAAGGCAGCCAUCUGGCCUAACACUGACGCUGAGGUACGAAAGCAUGGGGAGCAAACAGGAUUAGAUACCCCCGUAGUCCCUGUCUCUUAUAA